ensembl:lncRNA
AGAGGAGGCAGGUAGCCUAGUGGUUAGAGUGUAGAGGUGGCAGGUAGCCUAGUGGUUAGAGUGUAGGGACGGCAGGUAGGCUAGUGGUUAGAGUGUAGGGACGGCAGGUAGCCUAGUGGUUAGAGUGUAGGGACGGCAGGUAGCCUAGUGGUUAGAGUGUAGGGACGGCAGGUAGGCUAGUGGUUAGAGUGUAGGGACGGCAGGUAGCCUAGUGGUUAGAGUGUACGGACGGCAGGUAGCCUAGUGGUUAGAGUGUAGGGACGGCAGGUAGCCUAGUGGUUAGAGUGUAGGGACGGCAGGUAGCCUAGUGGUUAGAGUGUAGGGAGGCAGGUAGUCUAGUGGUUAGAGUGUAGGGGGCAGGUAGCCUAGUGGUUAGAGUGUAGGGGCAGGUAGUCUAGUGGUUAGAGUGUAGGGGGGGCAGGUAGUCUAGUGGUUAGAGUGUAGGGGGGUUAGGUAGGCUAGUGGUUAGAGUGUAGGGGGUCAGGUAGCCUAGUGGUUAGAGUGUAGGGCGGCAGGUAGUCUAGUGGUUAGAGUGUAGGGGGUUAGAUAGCCUAGUGGUUAGAGUGUAGGGGGGUCAGGUAGCCUAGUGGUUAGAGUGUAGGGGGUUAGGUACCCUAGUGGUUAGAGUGUAGGGGCGGCAGGUAGCCUAGUGGUUAGAGUGUAGGGGGGUUAGGUACCCUAGUGGUUAGAGUGUAGGGGCGGCAGGUAGCAAAGUGGUUAGAGUGUAGGGGCGGCAGGUAGCCUAGUGGUUAGAGUGUAGGGGGGGCAGGUAGUCUAGUGGUUAGAGUGUAGGGGGGGUAGGUAGCCUAGUGGUUAGAGUGUAGGGGGGGCAAGUAGCCUAGUGGUUAGAGUGUAGGGGGGUUAGGUAGCCUAGUGGUUAGAGUGUAGGUAGCCUAGUGGUUAGAGUGUAGGGGGGUUAGGUAGCCUAGUGGUUAGAGUGUAGGGGUGGCAGGUAGCCUAGUGGUUAGAGUUUAGG